UGGAAGUAAAAGUCGUAACAUGGAAGUAAAAGUUGUAACAAGGUUUCCGUAGGUGAACAUUUGGAAGGAUCAUUACCGAGUGCGGGAUGCCUCCGGGCGCCCAACCUCCCACCCGUGACUACCUAACACUGUUGCUUCGGCGGGGAGCCCCCCAGGGGGCGAGCCGCCGGGGACCACUGAACUUCAUGCCUGAGAGUGAUGCAGUCUGAGUCUGAAUACAAAUCAGUCAAAACUUUCAACAAUGGAUCUCUUGGUUCCGGCAUCGAUGAAGAACGCAGCGAACUGCGAUAAGUAAUGUGAAUUGCAGAAUUCAGUGAAUCAUCGAGUCUUUGAACGCACAUUGCGCCCCCUGGCAUUCCGGGGGGCAUGCCUGUCCGAGCGUCAUUGCUGCCCUUCAAGCCCGGCUUGUGUGUUGGGUCGUCGUCCCCCCCGGGGGACGGGCCCGAAAGGCAGCGGCGGCACCGUGUCCGGUCCUCGAGCGUAUGGGGCUUUGUCACCCGCUCGAUUAGGGCCGGCCGGGCGCCAGCCGGCGUCUCCAACCUUAUUUUUCUCAGGUUGACCUCGGAUCAGGUAGGGAUACCCGCUGAACUUAAGCAUAUCAAUAAGC
rnacentral:misc_RNA from 1 species